UACGAAGGGGGCGAGCGUUGUUCGGAAUUACUGGGCGUAAAGCGCGCGCAGGCGGUCUUCCAAGUCAGUGGUGAAAGCCCGGAGCUCAACUCCGGAACUGCCAUUGAAACUGUGAGACUUGAGUACGAGAGAGGUGAGUGGAAUUCCCAGUGUAGAGGUGAAAUUCGUAGAUAUUGGGAAGAACACCGGUGGCGAAGGCGGCUCACUGGCUCGUAACUGACGCUCAGGCGCGACAGCGUGGGGAUCAAACAGG
rnacentral:rRNA from 1 species